AGUGAACGCUGGCGGUAGGCCUAACACAUGCAAGUCGAACGGCAGCACAGUAAGAGCUUGCUCUUACGGGUGGCGAGUGGCGGACGGGUGAGGAAUACAUCGGAAUCUACUUUUUCGUGGGGGAUAACGUAGGGAAACUUACGCUAAUACCGCAUACUACCUACGGGUGAAAGCAGGGGAUCUUCGGACCUUGCGCGAUUGAAUGAGCCGAUGUCGGAUUAGCUAGUUGGCGGGGUAAAGGCCCACCAAGGCGACGAUCCGUAGCUGGUCUGAGAGGAUGAUCAGCCACACUGGAACUGAGACACGGUCCAGACUCCUACGGGAGGCAGCAGUGGGGAAUAUUGGACAAUGGGCGCAAGCCUGAUCCAGCCAUACCGCGUGGGUGAAGAAGGCCUUCGGGUUGUAAAGCCCUUUUGUUGGGAAAGAAAAGCAGCAGGUUAAUACCCCGCUGUUAUGACGGUACCCAAAGAAUAAGCACCGGCUAACUUCGUG
rnacentral:rRNA from 1 species